rnacentral:rRNA from 1 species
UACGUAGGGUGCGAGCGUUAAUCGGAAUUACUGGGCGUAAAGCGUGCGUAGGCGGUUCGCUGUGUCCGAUGUGAAAGCCCCGGGCUUAACCUGGGAAUGGCAUUGGAAACUGGCGGGCUUGAGUGCGGCAGAGGGGGGUGGAAUUCCGCGUGUAGCAGUGAAAUGCGUAGAGAUGCGGAGGAACACCGAUGGCGAAGGCAGCCCCCUGGGUCGACACUGACGCUCAGGCACGAAAGCGUGGGGAGCAAACAGGG